rnacentral:rRNA from 1 species
CUGGCGGCGUGCUUAACACAUGCAAGUCGAACGGAGUUAAGCGCUGGAUUGAUGACAGCUUGCUGUUGGAUUCCUGCUUACUAGUGGCGGACGGGUGAGUAACGCGUGAGUAACCUGCCCUUGAGUGGGGAAUAACGUUCCGAAAAGAACGCUAAUACCGCAUAACACAUAGUGACCGCAUGAUCAUUAUGUCAAAGAUUUAUCGCUGAAGGAUGGACUCGCGUCCGAUUAGCUUGUUGGUGAGGUAACGGCUCACCAAGGCGACGAUCGGUAGCCGGACUGAGAGGUUGAACGGCCACAUUGGGACUGAGACACGGCCCAGACUCCUACGGGAGGCAGCAGUGGGGGAUAUUGCGCAAUGGGGGGAAACCCUGACGCAGCAACGCCGCGUGGAGGAUGACGGUUUUCGGAUUGUAAACUCCUUUUAUGGGGGACGAACCAAGACGGUACCCCAUGAAUAAGCUCCGGCUAACUACGUGCCAGCCGCCGC